rnacentral:rRNA from 1 species
CCCUACGGGGGGCUGCAGGCGCGAAAACUUUACAAUGCCGGCAACGGCGAUAAGGGGACCUCGAGUGCCAGGUUACAAAUCUGGCUGUCGCGAUGCCUAAAAAGCAUUGCAUAGCAAGGGCCGGGCAAGACCGGUGCCAGCCGCCGCGGUAACACCGGCGGCUCGAGUGGUAACCGUUAUUAUUGGGUCUAAAGGGUCUGUAGCCGGCCGGGUAAGUCUCUUGGGAAAUCCAGCAGCUUAACUGUUGGGCUUUCAGGAGAUACUGCCUGGCUCGAGGCCGGGAGAGGUGAGAGGUACUUCAGGGGUAGGGGUGAAAUCUUGUAAUCCUUGAAGGACCACCAGUGGCGAAGGCGUCUCACCAGAACGGACCUGACGGCAAGGGACGAAAGCUAGGGGCACGAACCGGAUUAGAUACCCCGGUAGUC